rnacentral:rRNA from 1 species
GCGGCGUGCCUAAUACAUGCAAGUCGAGCGAACGGACGAGAAGCUUGCUUCUCUGAUGUUAGCGGCGGACGGGUGAGUAACACGUGGAUAACCUACCUAUAAGACUGGGAUAACUUCGGGAAACCGGAGCUAAUACCGGAUAAUAUUUUGAACCGCAUGGUUCAAAAGUGAAAGACGGUCUUGCUGUCACUUAUAGAUGGAUCCGCGCUGCAUUAGCUAGUUGGUAAGGUAACGGCUUACCAAGGCAACGAUGCAUAGCCGACCUGAGAGGGUGAUCGGCCACACUGGAACUGAGACACGGUCCAGACUCCUACGGGAGGCAGCAGUAGGGAAUCUUCCGCAAUGGGCGAAAGCCUGACGGAGCAACGCCGCGUGAGUGAUGAAGGUCUUCGGAUCGUAAAACUCUGUUAUUAGGGAAGAACAUAUGUGUAAGUAACUGUGCACAUCUUGACGGUACCUAAUCAGAAAGCCACGGCUAACUACGUGCCAGCAGCCGCGGUAAUACGUAGGUGGCAAGCGUUAUCCGGAAUUAUUGGGCGUAAAGCGCGCGUAGGCGGUUUUUUAAGUCUGAUGUGAAAGCCCACGGCUCAACCGUGGAGGGUCAUUGGAAACUGGAAAACUUGAGUGCAGAAGAGGAAAGUGGAAUUCCAUGUGUAGCGGUGAAAUGCGCAGAGAUAUGGAGGAACACCAGUGGCGAAGGCGACUUUCUGGUCUGUAACUGACGCUGAUGUGCGAAAGCGUGGGGAUCAAACAGGAUUAGAUACCCUGGUAGUCCACGCCGUAAACGAUGAGUGCUAAGUGUUAGGGGGUUUCCGCCCCUUAGUGCUGCAGCUAACGCAUUAAGCACUCCGCCUGGGGAGUACGACCGCAAGGUUGAAACUCAAAGGAAUUGACGGGGACCCGCACAAGCGGUGGAGCAUGUGGUUUAAUUCGAAGCAACGCGAAGAACCUUACCAAAUCUUGACAUCCUUUGACAACUCUAGAGAUAGAGCUUUCCCCUUCGGGGGACAAAGUGACAGGUGGUGCAUGGUUGUCGUCAGCUCGUGUCGUGAGAUGUUGGGUUAAGUCCCGCAACGAGCGCAACCCUUAAGCUUAGUUGCCAUCAUUAAGUUGGGCACUCUAAGUUGACUGCCGGUGACAAACCGGAGGAAGGUGGGGAUGACGUCAAAUCAUCAUGCCCCUUAUGAUUUGGGCUACACACGUGCUACAAUGGACAAUACAAAGGGCAGCGAAACCGCGAGGUCAAGCAAAUCCCAUAAAGUUGUUCUCAGUUCGGAUUGUAGUCUGCAACUCGACUACAUGAAGCUGGAAUCGCUAGUAAUCGUAGAUCAGCAUGCUACGGUGAAUACGUUCCCGGGUCUUGUACACACCGCCCGUCACACCACGAGAGUUUGUAACACCCGAAGCCGGUGGAGUAACCUUUUAGGAGCUAGCCGUCGAAGGUG